UGGGGAAUAUUGGACAAUGGAGGAAACUCUGAUCCAGCAAUUCUGUGUGUGUGAAGAAGGUUUUAGGACUGUAAAACACUUUUAGUAGGGAAGAAAAAAAUGACGGUACCUACAGAAGAAGCAACGGCUAAAUACGUGCCAGCAGCCGCGGUAAUACGUAUGUUGCGAGCGUUAUCCGGAAUUAUUGGGCUUAAAGGGCAUCUAGGCGGUAAGACAAGUUGAAGGUGAAAACCUGUGGCUCAACCAUAGGCUUGCCUACAAAACUGUUGAACUAGAGUACUGGAAAGGUGGGUGGAACUACACGAGUAGAGGUGAAAUUCGUAGAUAUGUGUAGGAAUGCCGAUGAUGAAGAUAACUCACUGGACAGAAACUGACGCUGAAGUGCGAAAGCUAGGGGAGCAAAUAGG
rnacentral:rRNA from 1 species